rnacentral:rRNA from 1 species
CCUACGGGAGGCAGCAGUGAGGAAUUUUCCGCAAUGGGCGCAAGCCUGACGGAGCAACGCCGCGUGCAGGAGGACGCUUUUCGGAGUGUAAACUGCUUUUCUGUGGGACGAGCAAGGACGGUACCACAGGAAGAAGCCCCGGCUAACUACGUGCCAGCAGCCGCGGUAAUACGUAGGGGGCGAGCGUUGUCCGGAGUUACUGGGCGUAAAGGGCAUGCAGGCGGUCGGACGCGUUUUGUGUGACAGCGGGUGGCUUAACUGCCCGAGGAUACGAAAGACGGUUUGACUUGAGGGCUCGAGAGGGACACGGAAUUCCGGGUGGAGUGGUGAAAUGCGUAGAGAUCCGGAGGAACACCAAAGGCGAAGGCAGUGUCCUGGUGAGCACCUGACGCUGAGGUGCGAAAGCUAGGGGAGCGAACGGGAUUAGAUACCCCGGUAGUC